rnacentral:rRNA from 1 species
AUUGAACGCUGGCGGCAGGCCUAACACAUGCAAGUCGAACGAGUGGCGGACGGGUGAGUAAUGUCUGGGAACCUGCCCGAUGGAGGGGGUUCACUACUGGAAACGGUAGCUAAUACCGCAUACCAUCGGAUGGUCCAAGAUGGGAUUAGCUCGUAGGUGGGGUAACGGCUCACCUAGGCGCGUAUCCCUAGCUGGUCUGAGAGUAUGACCAGCCACACUGGAACUGAGACACGGUCCAGACUCCUACGGGAGGCAGCAGUGGGGAAUAUUGCUCAAUGGGCGCAAGCCUGAUGCAGCCAUGCCGCGUGUAUGAAGAAGGCCUUCGGGUUGUAAAGUACUUUCAGCGAGGAGGCGUUACUCGCAGAAGAAGCACCGGCUAACUCCGUGCCAGCAGCCGCGGUAAUAC